GGGGAAUAUUGGACAAUGGGCGGAAGCCUGAUCCAGCCAUGCCGCGUGUGUGAAGAAGGCCUUUUGGUUGUAAAGCACUUUAAGCGAGGAGGAGGCUACUAGUACUAAUACUACUGGAUAGUGGACGUUACUCGCAGAAUAAGCACCGGCUAACUCUGUGCCAGCAGCCGCGGUAAUACAGAGGGUGCGAGCGUUAAUCGGAUUUACUGGGCGUAAAGCGUGCGUAGGCGGCUUUUUAAGUCGGAUGUGAAAUCCCCGAGCUUAACUUGGGAAUUGCAUUCGAUACUGGGAAGCUAGAGUAUGGGAGAGGAUGGUAGAAUUCCAGGUGUAGCGGUGAAAUGCGUAGAGAUCUGGAGGAAUACCGAUGGCGAAGGCAGCCAUCUGGCCUAAUACUGACGCUGAGGUACGAAAGCAUGGGGAGCAAACA
rnacentral:rRNA from 1 species